GACAGAGGGUGCAAACGUUGUUCGGAUUUACUGGGCGUAAAGCGCAUGUAGGCUGUUUGCCAAGUCGGGUGUGAAAGCCCUGAGCUCAACUCAGGAAGUGCACUCGAAACUGGCAGACUAGAGUCUCGGAGAGGAAAGCGGAAUUCUUGGUGUAGAGGUGAAAUUCGUAGAUAUCAAGAGGAACACCGGUGGCGAAGGCGGCUUUCUGGACGAUGACUGACGCUGAGAUGCGAAAGCGUGGGGAGCAAACAGG
rnacentral:rRNA from 1 species